CGCCCCCACCUUCUGUUGCCCGAGAACUCAACAGAGUUGGACUCUCGCGAGAGCUCAUCGGCCUCCACCACGCUCUGCGCGCGCGUGUUUGUGUGUUGCUAGGUGUGGCUGCUUCCUCGACGUUCGAGAGUGGUUUCGAGGUGAUCCUCGGCUCCGGUGACAGUUUCCAAGGCAAAGAUAUGAGUUAGCUGGUAAACUGUCCAGAAAGAUCUGGUAAACACUUGUCAUGGGCCUGUCUCUGUUUGUCUGCACUUCCUGAGCUCCUAGUCUUUCAUUUCUACUAAAUAAUAAUCUGAUCCAGACUUCUGACAAUGAUUUUCUUUGGAUCUCCCAGACAAAGCCACUGUAUUGUAAACAGUUGCUAUUUACUGUA